rnacentral:rRNA from 4 species
CAACAGGGAUUCCCCUAGUAACGGCGAGUGAAGCGGGAACAGCUCAAAUUUGAAAUCUGGCCCUUGGGUCCGAGUUGUAAUUUGCAGAGGAUGCUUUUGGUGCGGUGCCUUCCGAGUUCCCUGGAACGGGACGCCUUAGAGGGUGAGAGCCCCGUACGGUUGGCCACCAAGCCUGUGUAAAGCUCCUUCGACGAGUCGAGUAGUUUGGGAAUGCUGCUCAAAAUGGGAGGUAUAUUUCUUCUAAAGCUAAAUACUGGCCAGAGACCGAUAGCGCACAAGUAGAGUGAUCGAAAGAUGAAAAGCACUUUGAAAAGAGGGUUAAAUAGCACGUGAAAUUGUUGAAAGGGAAGGAUUUAUGACCAGACUUUUUCUGGGGGGAUCAUCCGGUGUUCUCACCGGUGCACUUCCCCCAGUUGAGGCCAGCAUCGGUUUCUGCCGGGGGAUAAAAGCUUUGGGAAUGUGGCUCCUUCGGGAGUGUUAUAGCCCGUUGCAUAAUACCCUGGCGGGGACCGAGGUUCGCGCAUUGCAAGGAUGCUGGCGUAAUGGUUAUUAAUCACCCGUCUUGAAACACGGACCAAGGAGUCGAACAUUUGUGCGAGUGUUUGGGUGUUAAACCCUCACGCGUAAUGAAAGUGAACGGAGGUGAGAGCCUUUAGGGGUGCAUCAUCGACCGAUCCUGAUGUCUUCGGAUGGAUUUGAGUAAGAGCAUAACUGUUCGGACCCGAAAGAUGGUGAACUAUGCGUGGAUAGGGUGAAGCCAGAGGAAACUCUGGUGGAGGCUCGCAGCGGUUCUGACGUGCAAAUCGAUCGUCAAAUCUGCGCAUGGGGGCGAAAGACUAAUCGA